rnacentral:rRNA from 1 species
CCUACGGGAGGCAGCAGUGAGGAAUAUUGGUCAAUGGAUGGAAGUCUGAACCAGCCAUGCCGCGUGCAGGAAGACGGCUCUAUGAGUUGUAAACUGCUUUUGUACGAGGGUAAACCUGAAUACGUGUAUUCAGCUGAAAGUACUGUACGAAAAAGGAUCGGCUAACUCCGUGCCAGCAGCCGCGGUAAUACGGAGGAUCCAAGCGUUAUCCGGAUUUAUUGGGUUUAAAGGGUGCGUAGGCGGAUUGAUAAGUUAGAGGUGAAAUGUCCGAGCUUAACUCGGGAACUGCCUUUAAUACUGUUGUUCUAGAGAGGGGGUGAAGUAUGCGGAAUGUAUGGUGUAGCGGUGAAAUGCAUAGAGAUCAUACAGAACACCGAUUGCGAAGGCAGCUUACC